rnacentral:misc_RNA from 1 species
AAGUCGUAACAAGGUUUCCGUAGGUGAACCUGCGGAAGGAUCAUCAGUGAAAAAAAUGAUUGAUUCAUAUAUCUCUACAAAAAUCCUGGCAAAAAAUAGUCAUUUUUUGCUUCAGGUUGGUGUGUAUCGUGCGAUAAAAGGGGAUGUUUUUUUAGAGAGACACACUUGGCCUAACAAAUAAUUGUGUGUUUCUGUUUGGCCAAAAAAAACAUCUUUGUCGCUAGGCCAAAAAACUUUCUUCUUUUCACCAGACUUGGUGGAGAGAAGAAAAACAAAAUCAGGCAAAGACUUUUAAAUCUUUGCCGACUCUGGUGAAAAUAUUUCUGGCCAAAGAAAUUUUACCUCACAAACAUUUUUAGCCAAAUGUUUUGGCUAGAAAAACUUAUUACUCAACAACAAUAACAACUUUCGGCAACGGAUCUCUCGGCUCACC